CCUUGACAUCCAGCGAACUUGGCAGNGAUGCCUUGGUGCCUUCGGGAACGCUGAGACAGGUGCUGCAUGGCUGUCGUCAGCUCGUGUUGUGAAAUGUUGGGUUAAGUCCGCAACGAGCGCAACCCUUAUCCUUUGUUGCCAGCGAGUUCGGUCGGGAACUCAAAGGAGACUGCCGGUGAUAAACCGGAGGAAGGUGGGGAUGACGUCAAGUCAUCAUGGCCCUUACGAGUAGGGCUACACACGUGCUACAAUGGCGCAUACAAAGAGAAGCGACCUCGCGAGAGCAAGCGGACCUCAUAAAGUGCGUCGUAGUCCGGAUCGGGGUCUGCAACUCGACUCCGUGAAGUCGGAAUCGCUAGUAAUCGUGGAUCAGAAUGCCACGGUGAAUACGUUCCCGGGCCUUGUACACACCGCCCGUCACACCAUGGGAGUGGGUUGCAAAAGAAGUAGGUAGCUUAACCUUCGGGAGGGCGCUUACCACUUUGUGAUUCAUGACUGGGGUGAAGUCGUAACAAGGUAGGCGUAGCGAG
rnacentral:rRNA from 1 species